rnacentral:rRNA from 1 species
GAUGAACGCUGGCGGCGUGCCUAAUACAUGCAAGUCGAGCGAACGGACGAGAAGCUUGCUUCUCUGAUGUUAGCGGCGGACGGGUGAGUAACACGUGGAUAACCUACCUAUAAGACUGGGAUAACUUCGGGAAACCGGAGCUAAUACCGGAUGAUAUUUUGAACCGCAUGGUUCAAAAGUGAAAGACGGUCUUGCUGUCACUUAUAGAUGGAUCCGCGCUGCAUUAGCUAGUUGGUAAGGUAACGGCUUACCAAGGCAACGAUGCAUAGCCGACCUGAGAGGGUGAUCGGCCACACUGGAACUGAGACACGGUCCAGACUCCUACGGGAGGCAGCAGUAGGGAAUCUUCCGCAAUGGGCGAAAGCCUGACGGAGCAACGCCGCGUGAGUGAUGAAGGUCUUCGGAUCGUAAAACUCUGUUAUUAGGGAAGAACAUAUGUGUAAGUAACUGUGCACAUCUUGACGGUACCUAAUCAGAAAGCCACGGCUAACUACGUGCCAGCAGCCGCGGUAAUACGUAGGUGGCAAGCGUUAUCCGGAAUUAUUGGGCGUAAAGCGCGCGUAGGCGGUUUUUUAGUCUGAUGUGAAAGCCCACGGCUCAACCGUGGAGGGUCAUUGGAAACUGGAAAACUUGAGUGCAGAAGAGGAAAGUGGAAUUCCAUGUGUAGCGGUGAAAUGCGCAGAGAUAUGGAGGAACACCAGUGGCGAAGGCGACUUUCUGGUCUGUAACUGACGCUGAUGUGCGAAAGCGUGGGGAUCAAACAGGAUUAGAUACCCUGGUAGUCCACGCCGUAAACGAUGAGUGCUAAGUGUUAGGGGGUUUCCGCCCCUUAGUGCUGCAGCUAACGCAUUAAGCACUCCGCCUGGGGAGUACGACCGCAAGGUUGAAACUCAAAGGAAUUGACGGGGACCCGCACAAGCGGUGGAGCAUGUGGUUUAAUUCGAAGCAACGCGAAGAACCUUACCAAAUCUUGACAUCCUUUGACAACUCUAGAGAUAGAGCCUUCCCCUUCGGGGGACAAAGUGACAGGUGGUGCAUGGUUGUCGUCAGCUCGUGUCGUGAGAUGUUGGGUUAAGUCCCGCAACGAGCGCAACCCUUAAGCUUAGUUGCCAUCAUUAAGUUGGGCACUCUAAGUUGACUGCCGGUGACAAACCGGAGGAAGGUGGGGAUGACGUCAAAUCAUCAUGCCCCUUAUGAUUUGGGCUACACACGUGCUACAAUGGACAAUACAAAGGGCAGCGAAACCGCGAGGUCAAGCAAAUCCCAUAAAGUUGUUCUCAGUUCGGAUUGUGGUCUGCAACUCGACUACAUGAAGCUGGAAUCGCUAGUAAUCGUAGAUCAGCAUGCUACGGUGAAUACGUUCCCGGGUCU